UUGGAGGGCAAGUCUGGUGCCAGCAGCCGCGGUAAUUCCAGCUCCAAUAGCGUAUAUUAAAGUUGUUGCAGUUAAAAAGCUCGUAGUUGAAUUUCGGGGUUAGUAGGUUGGUCAUGCCUCUGGUAUGUACUGGUCUCACUGAUUCCUCCUUCCUGAUGAGCCGUAAUGCCAUUAAUUUGGUGUUGCGGGGAAUUUGGACUGUUACUUUGAAAAAAUUAGAGUGUUUAAAGCAAGCUAACGCUUGAAUACAUUAGCAUGGAAUAAUGAAAUAGGACGUUCGAUCCUAUUUUGUUGGUUUCUAGGAUUGACGUAAUGAUUAAUAGGGAUAGUUGGGGGCAUUAGUAUUCAAUUGUCAGAGGUGAAAUUCUUGGAUUUAUUGAAGACUAACUACUGCGAAAGCAUUUGCCAAGGAUGUUUUCAUUAAUCAAGAACGAAAGUUAGGGGAUCGAAGACGAUCAGAUACCGUCGUAGUCUUAACCAGAAACUAUGCCGACUAGGGAUCGGAUGAUGUUAAUUUUUUAAUGACUCAUUCGGCGCCUUACGGGAAAC
rnacentral:rRNA from 1 species